UCUGCGUAGUGUUCGCAAUAUUAUUUUAGUGGAGUAGUUGUUGACUGUUGUUAUUGCGAUAAUAUAAUAUUAUUCUAACCUUUAGGGUAUUUUUUUUUCCUUUCAUUGUUUAUGUUUGAGUCGAAGUAACAGUAUUCCACUGAAGCACUUCUUUUAUACAUCACAUUCUUCGCUGUGAUUAUCCACAUCAUCGACAAACACUUUAUUUGAACAGGCGGACGGCAUAAUGUUAUACAGACACGAAUGUCCAAAAUGACACGUAGCACAAAUGCCGCCGACCAUAUUAUAAUAUAUUUUUAUUAUUUUAUGUAUACGUUGGCCGCAGUGGACCAUUAUCGGAAUCGCAUCAAUGCAGACAGAGGUUGUGUCGAAAUGUCAACUGAAUUGAUGACUUCACAGCCACGUGGAUACCUACACACAACAAUAUACUUAAAAUAUAUUGUUAUCAUCUAUCGAUUGUGGUACUCUGAUCGUGAUAACAACAAUAAAAGCGAAAACGCCGUUUCGUCAAUACAACGACCGAACUAUUAUUAUAUGAACCUACUACAGAUACCGAGUGUUUGCCAGACACGUUUUAUGUGUUCGAUUGCAGUGCAUAAUGGGACACAGACACGCCUCAGUCGAACGGGUUCAGAUGUUCACAAAUAAAAUAAUAUAGAGAUAGGCGACCUGUACGACCGAAAAAAAAAA